UACGUAGGGACCAAGCGUUGUUCGGAUUUACUGGGCGUAAAGGGCGCGUAGGCGGCGCGGUAAGUCACUCGUGAAAUCUCUGAGCUUAACUCAGAACGGCCAAGUGAUACUGCAGUGCUAGAGUGUGGAAGGGGCAAUCGGAAUUCUUGGUGUAGCGGUGAAAUGCGUAGAUAUCAAGAGGAACACCUGAGGUGAAGACGGGUUGCUGGGCCAACACUGACGCUGAGGCGCGAAAGCCAGGGGAGCAAACGGG
rnacentral:rRNA from 1 species